GUGAGUGACUGGCAAUGAAAAUUGUAGUGGUAAGAAGCGAUAGGUCGCAAGUUCGAAUCUUGCCGGGGGCGCCA
rnacentral:tRNA from 1 species